rnacentral:rRNA from 1 species
UAAAAAAAGGUAAGCUACUAAGAGCGAAUGGUGGAUGCCUUGACUGGUAAAGGCGAUGAAGGACGUACUAGACUGCGAUAAGCUACGGGGAGCUGUCAAGAAGCUUUGAUCCGUAGAUUUCCGAAUGGGGCAACCCAAUGUAUAGAGAUAUACAUUACCUAUAUAGGAGCGAACGAGGGGAAUUGAAACAUCUUAGUACCCUCAGGAAAAGAAAUCAAUAGAGAUUGCGUCAGUAGCGGCGAGCGAAAGUGCAAGAGGGCAAACCCAGUGCUUGCACUGGGGGUUGUAGGACUGCAAUGUGCAAGAGCUGAGUUUAGCAGAACAUUCUGGAAAGUAUAGCCAUAGAGGGUGAUAGUCCCGUAUGCGAAAAACAAAGCUUAGCUAGCAGUAUCCUGAGUAGGGCGGGACACGAGGAAUCCUGUCUGAAUCUGGGUCGACCACGAUCCAACCCUAAAUACUAAUACCAGAUCGAUAGUGCACAAGUACCGUGAGGGAAAGGUGAAAAGAACUGAGGUGAUCAGAGUGAAAUAGAACCUGAAACCAUUUGCUUACAAUCAUUCAGAGCACUAUGUAGCAAUACAGUGUGAUGGACUGCCUUUUGCAUAAUGAGCCUGCGAGUUGUGGUGUCUGGCAAGGUUAAGCAAACGCGAAGCCGUAGCGAAAGCGAGUCUGAAUAGGGCGCUUAGUCAGAUGCUGCAGACCCGAAACGAAGUGAUCUAUCCAUGAGCAAGUUGAAGCUAGUGUAAGAACUAGUGGAGGACUGAACCCAUAGGCGUUGAAAAGCCCCGGGAUGACUUGUGGAUAGGGGUGAAAGGCCAAUCAAACUUCGUGAUAGCUGGUUCUCUCCGAAAUAUAUUUAGGUAUAGCGUUGUGUCGUAAUAUAAGGGGGUAGAGCACUGAAUGGGCUAGGGCAUACACCAAUGUACCAAACCCUAUCAAACUCCGAAUACCUUAUAUGUAAUCACAGCAGUCAGGCGGCGAGUGAUAAAAUCCGUCGUCAAGAGGGAAACAACCCAGACUACCAGCUAAGGUCCCUAAAUCUUACUUAAGUGGAAAACGAUGUGAAGUUACUUAAACAACCAGGAGGUUGGCUUAGAAGCAGCCAUCCUUUAAAGAAAGCGUAAUAGCUCACUGGUCUAGUGAUUUUGCGCGGAAAAUAUAACGGGGCUAAAGUAAGUACCGAAGCUGUAGACUUGCACACAACUUAGAUUAUUUAAGUUUAGAAUAUGAGAAACUAAGUUAUGUUUAGUUAUAUUUUUACUGAUUUUUAUAGAGUAAAGAUAGAAAUAAAACUUAGUAAAAUCAGUAAAAAUAUUCUUAGGCUAAAGUUAAGUAGUUUAAGUUGUGUGCAAGUGGUAGGAGAGCGUUCUAUUUGCGUCGAAGGUAUACCGGUAAGGAGUGCUGGAGCGAAUAGAAGUGAGCAUGCAGGCAUGAGUAGCGAUAAUUAAUGUGAGAAUCAUUAACGCCGUAAACCCAAGGUUUCCUACGCGAUGCUCGUCAUCGUAGGGUUAGUCGGGUCCUAAGUCGAGUCCGAAAGGGGUAGACGAUGGCAAAUUGGUUAAUAUUCCAAUACCAACAUUAGUGUGCGAUGGAAGGACGCUUAGGGCUAAGGGGGCUAGCGGAUGGAAGUGCUAGUCUAAGGUUGUAGGAGGUUAUACAGGCAAAUCCGUAUAACAAUACUCCGAGAACUGAAAGGCUUUUUGAAGUCUUCGGAUGGAUAGAAGAACCCCUGAUGCCGUCGAGCCAAGAAAAGUUUCUAAGUUUAGCUAAUGUUGCCCGUACCGUAAACCGACACAGGUGGGUGGGAUGAGUAUUCUAAGGCGCGUGGAAGAACUCUCUUUAAGGAACUCUGCAAAAUAGCACCGUAUCUUCGGUAUAAGGUGUGGUUAGCUUCGUACUAGGAUUUACUCCGAAAGCGAAGAAACUUACAACAAAGAGUCCCUCCCGACUGUUUACCAAAAACACAGCACUCUGCUAACUCGUAAGAGGAUGUAUAGGGUGUGACGCCUGCCCGGUGCUCGAAGGUUAAUUGAUGGGGUUAGCAUUAGCGAAGCUCUUGAUCGAAGCCCGAGUAAACGGCGGCCGUAACUAUAACGGUCCUAAGGUAGCGAAAUUCCUUGUCGGUUAAAUACCGACCUGCAUGAAUGGCGUAACGAGAUGGGAGCUGUCUCAAAGAGGGAUCCAGUGAAAUUGUAGUGGAGGUGAAAAUUCCUCCUACCCGCGGCAAGACGGAAAGACCCCGUGGACCUUUACUACAGCUUGAC